rnacentral:rRNA from 1 species
AACGAACGCUGGCGGCAGGCUUAACACAUGCAAGUCGAGCGCCCCGCAAGGGGAGCGGCAGACGGGCGAGUAACGCGUGGGAAUCUACCCAUCUCUACGGAAUAACGCAUGGAAACGUGUGCUAAUACCGUAUACGUCCUUCGGGAGAAAGAUUUAUCGGAGAUGGAUGAGCCCGCGUUGGAUUAGCUAGUUGGUGGGGUAAAGGCCUACCAAGGCGACGAUCCAUAGCUGGUCUGAGAGGAUGAUCAGCCACACUGGGACUGAGACACGGCCCAGACUCCUACGGGAGGCAGCAGUGGGGAAUAUUGGACAAUGGGCGCAAGUCUGAUCCAGCCAUGCCGCGUGAGUGAUGAAGGCCCUAGGGUUGUAAAGCUCUUUCACCGGUGAAGAUAAUGACGGUAACCGGAGAAGAAGCCCCGGCUAACUUCGUGCCAGCCGCCGCCUAACAC